ACUCCACCACUGGUUUUUGUAUCAGGUGUGAGGUGGCUCCCUGUACACUUACUCCACAAGGAUCCCCUGUGAAUCCACAGUGCCCACAGGUGUCCGCCGACCCGGAGGCAAGGAGCUCACCAUCCUGCCUGCCAACCGGUAGGGGGUCCCAAAGGCGUUGCCCUAAGUUCCCCGGGCGGCUUUCCGGAGCCGCGCCGGGCAGGGUUGGGUUCUGGGCACCGCGCGCGCAUCGGCUCAUCGUUCUCCAGGCUCCCGCCGCUGCGCUCCCAGCCCGGCCUUUCAAGCAAUCACAUGGUGUGGCAGAGGCUCAGCCCCGGACGCCUUUAAAGAGGUAGUGCCCCUGUUUCGUACCUGGGACUGGAUGGCAGGCGUGAUUCUGAGGGACUAAGCCCAGGACCUGGCGGGUCCACCGGCUCCCAUUCCCCGCGUGCGCGCACGCCUACCCUGUGCCCACCCACCUGGGACGCCGCUGGUGCCCGAUUCUUAACAGAAGCCUGGUCCAGCUCCAGCUCUGCCCAGAAUCCUUACCCAUCGACUGCCCCAAGGGGGACACCCCAGUCAUUUCAUCCACCCCUUUCCUGCACACUCAUGAUGCACGAACUGAGCCACAGACUUACCCAAGGUCACACCAAAGCUGGCAGAGCGCCUGGCCACCUGAACUGUCUAGCCAAGUAUCCCCAGACCUCAAAACCUUGGGCAGUCGCUCCCUCAGAGGAUGCCAGGGGAACCCAGGGCUAGCCAGUUAUGUCCAAGGGGUGGUAGCCAGCCGAGACUCCACUCUGGCGCCGGCGCCUUCGUCGCCCCCGGCGCGGGAGCUGAGUGACAAUCGGGCUCCGCACACCGGGAGGGGGAGGGGGCGGGGGCGGGGGCGGCGGCGGCACCCGCGGGCCCCUCCCUCGUCGCCCUCCGUCUCCUCCCCUACCCCCUCCUCUAAACAAAGGAAGUGAUUCAGUGUGAGAAAAGCUGGGAAAACGUGAGCGUCUCGAAUGGUGUGAUGUAUGGAUCCGGCCUCGGGACAGGGACAGUACCGAGGUGCCGAUUCCCGUGUUCCCUCUUUCCCUUACUCCCUCCCUCCCUUCUCAAUGCAGCAGGCGGACAGCCCAAGCCCUAAUCACCUGCGGGACUCAAGAGGGCCCCUCUCUGGUCUCCCACCGCCACCAACCAUUGGCAUCUGGGCGCCUCCCCUAAUCUUAAAACCUACUCUCUUCAGGAAAGCAGUCCCAGCACUGUCAGGAGCGCACAGGCUUCCCGCACACACGUUACUUUGCAGGCAGUCUCCUGAGUCAUAGCCCUUUCUCAUCCAUCGCUCAGAGUGCUUUUCAGGCUCUUCGUAAUUUCCAUUUUGCAGAUGAGGAUGCUGAGGCUCAGAGAAAUGACCCCCACUGUCAGUGUUACACUACUAUGCUCCUUCCCCUCCCCCUCCUCCUCCUUCUCCUUCUCCUUUCUGCCCCAGCACCUAAGACUACACAGUAUCUAGUCCAAUCCCUUGUGCUCCAGAAAAAGAUUCAGGCUGGGAAAUGAAAGGAACUUGCCAAAGACUAACACACUGAAGCACCAGCACAGUGCCCUUCCCACAGUGCCCUCCCCACCUCGCCCUCCCCCACAGUGUCCCUGGCCCUCACUUCAUCACUGGCUCACGCACAGCCCCAAGCCUUCCCUCUCAGUGCCUUAUAGAGAGAUCCCACCCUGAGAAAUCCUGUUUGUUGGUCAAGGGUCUGCACUGUACAGUAGCUGGGUGAGUCAGGCUAGGGGAAACCCUACAACCUGCUGCCCCCUUGCUGGAUCCCAGCUGAGGAGAAGGGCUCUGCCCACAGGAGGGAGAGCAACUUCUGCUGGGGUGUGCUGCAGGAGCACAGGAAGGAGCAGUUUCCUCUGGAACCUGGGUGGCUGGGAGGAAGGGUGGGAGCUAUUCGGUUUUCUCCAGAGAAAGAAGCCCAAUGAGGGGAGGACACUUCCAGGAGACCCAGGGCUUCACUUCCACUUCCACCCUCAGACAACAGGGGACUGUGAGUUUGAUGACAAAAGAUCAGCUCAUCCAUGACAGGCAUCCUUCCUGCCUACCUCCCAUUCCUCCCUACUCCUAAGAGCAAGCUGCCAUCCUGCCCCUGCCCAUACCAUGCGACAUGAGGCUGAGAUCUGCAUGGCAUCUGUGCCUCUUGGCUCUUUCUUUCCUUGACUCAGGGCCUUUAAGGCAUAAAGCCUUUCACAUAAUUAAUUUUAAUUUUUUAAGACAAAGACUUGCUAUGUAGCUCAGGUUGGCCUCGAACUCAGUCAUUUUAGCUGUCUCAUUCCAAUACUGGAAUGAUAGACACAAUCCAGCACGGUGUUAGGCAAAGUGAGUUUUUCGUUGGUUGGUUGGUUGGUUGGUUGGCUUGGUGCUGAGGAAUGGAACUCAGGACUCUUGUGUGCUAGCCUUGCAUUCUGCAGCUGAAUUAUAUCUGUGAUCCUCUUUUAAGUCUUGAUUUGCUUCUUGUCAGCCCUAUGGCAAGUUCACCAUGGGGCCAGCCAGUGGCCUCAGGGAGAGGAGGACACUGUGGGAGGACCAAGGCUGAGCAGGAAGACCCAAGGGACUGGAUGGACCCUGUGCCAAACGUGAUUGCUGUUUUUCACACAUGCCCCGACCCCUGACUAGAUGAACCUCCUACCAUGGCCAUUUGACUCCCUACACACAGCACACGCACACGAAUUUCGCUGCCUCCAGCAGAGUCCUAGUCUGAUGGCAGCUCCAUCAGGAAUGAUACCUAGAAGGUAUGGGAUCCGCACAGGCUGGUUGAAGGAGAGUUUGAUACAGAGUGCUUAUAAAAGGACAAGCAAGAGGCCAACAAGGUAGAGGUUGGGUGAAUGAGUUUAUUGCUGAGCCGGACAACCUGAGAUCAAUCCUCAAGUUCCACAAUAUGGAAGAGGAGAACUGUCUGUCAAGGGCUGUCUGUCUCCUGACCUCCAUAUGUGCACUGUGGCACUCCCACACACAUAGACACAUGCACUAAAUAAAUAAAAUGUAAUAGACUU
rnacentral:lncRNA from 1 species